rnacentral:rRNA from 1 species
AGAGUUUGAUCCUGGCUCAGAUUGAACGCUGGCGGCAUGCUUUACACAUGCAAGUCGAACGGCAGCACGGGUGCUUGCACCUGGUGGCGAGUGGCGAACGGGUGAGUAAUAUAUCGGAACAUGUCCGGAAGUGGGGGAUAACGUAGCGAAAGUUACGCUAAUACCGCAUAUGCCCUGAGGGGGAAAGGAGGGGAUCCGCAAGGACCUUUCGCUUUCGGAGUGGCCGAUAUCAGAUUAGCUAGUUGGUGGGGUAAAGGCCCACCAAGGCGACGAUCUGUAGCGGGUCUGAGAGGAUGAUCCGCCACACUGGGACUGAGACACGGCCCAGACUCCUACGGGAGGCAGCAGUGGGGAAUUUUGGACAAUGGGGGCAACCCUGAUCCAGCCAUGCCGCGUGAGUGAAGAAGGCCUUCGGGUUGUAAAGCUCUUUCAGCCGGAAAGAAAUCGCACCGAUUAAUACUCGGUGUGGAUGACGGUACCGGAAGAAGAAGCACCGGCUAACUACGUGCCAGCAGCCGCGGUAAUACGUAGGGUGCGAGCGUUAAUCGGAAUUACUGGGCGUAAAGCGUGCGCAGGCGGUUUUGUAAGACAGGCGUGAAAUCCCCGGGCUUAACCUGGGAACUGCGUUUGUGACUGCAAGGCUAGAGUGUGGCAGAGGGGGGUAGAAUUCCGCGUGUAGCAGUGAAAUGCGUAGAUAUGCGGAGGAAUACCGAUGGCGAAGGCAGCCCCCUGGGUCAACACUGACGCUCAUGCACGAAAGCGUGGGGGAGCAAACAGGAUUAGAUACCCUGGUAGUCCAC